rnacentral:rRNA from 1 species
GAUCAUUAUUGAAUAAACCUGAUGAGUUGCUGCUGGUUCUCUAGGGAGCAUGUGCACACUUGUCAUCUUUAUAUCUCCACCUGUGCACCUUUUGUAGAUCUGGAUAUCUUUCUGAAUGCUUUGCAUUUAGGUUCGAGGAUUGACUUUUUGUCUUUCCUUACAUUUCCAGUUCUAUGUUUCUUCAUAUACCCCAUGUAUGUUAUAGAAUGUAAUAAAGGGCCUUUGUGCCUAUAAACUUAUACAACUUUCAGCAACGGAUCUCUUGGCUCUCGCAUCGAUGAAGAACGCAGCGAAAUGCGAUAAGUAAUGUGAAUUGCAGAAUUCAGUGAAUCAUCGAAUCUUUGAACGCACCUUGCGCUCCUUGGUAUUCCGAGGAGCAUGCCUGUUUGAGUGUCAUUAAUAUAUCAACCUCCUCAAGUUUUUACUUGUUGAGUGUUGGAUGUGGGGGUAUUUUUGCUGGUCUCUCUGAGGUCAGCUCCCCUGAAAUUCAUUAGCGGAACAAUUUGUUGACCGUUCAUUGGUGUGAUAACUAUCUACGCUAUUGACGUGAAGCAGGUUCAGCUUCUAACAGUCCAUUGACUUGGACAAUUUUUCAUUAAUGUGACCUCAAAUCAGGUAGG